UUUCCCUUUUGAAGCCCUCAGAUAGUUCGCUGGAAUUUUAAUUUUAAUGGCAAUUUCUUGCAUCUGUUGUAACAGCAUUCGUAUGACCAGCUUAUAAGCAAUGAUCAGGGCUAGUAAGAUGUCACAGAGCUGCGGUGACUUUUCCUUAUCAGUUGGGGGUUCUUUUGCCAUGAAACCAUCGUGGAAAUGGAAGACAACGUGAAAAUCCUGCGUCCUUGUGAUAUUUCAUCAGUGGGAGUCAGCGGGGAUCUUAACGCAGUGAGAGGCAAGAUAAAUGGAUGAGAGGCAUCAGCUCAGGCUUACAGGGCCAAGAUGUUUUUAGUCAGUGUUUAAGAUAGCUCUCUAAACUUGGAGCAGUGAAAUCCAAAAACGAGUGUCUUUUGAGGGCAGCUGGAAGAUAACCCGAGAGGAACUUUUAUCCUGGGGUGGAGUCCUGCGAAGCAAGCCGCAGGUGAGGGCGUGGGCCAGUCCUGCGCCUCACUGCUAUUAGGCGCAAGGACAUUCCGAAACACACUCAACGACACCAGCAGCGAGCCUCACAGAAGUGGCUCGCCAGCGGGAACAACAACUUGAGGCGAGCCGUUAGCCGCCUCGCCUUCCCCGCAGCGCCCCUCCCUCUCCCCGGGAAGCCCGUUCGGCUCCGCCUUUUCGGCUGACGUCCCGGGCGAGCGGGGGAGGGCGCGUGGGUGGGCCGAGCCGUCUGCAGCCAGCGAUUCGGCUGGCUCUGCCACACCACCGCGCGCCCCCGCUCCGCCCGCCCCUCCGGGCGCGUCUUUUCCGGGAUCGCGCUGAGCCCCGCCUCCGCCGGCUGUCCGGGUGCGCGCGCGCCGCUGCGGCUUUUUCUCUGGCCUCCGUGGCGCGCUUCUCCUCGUCCCAGCGCUAGCGGGCACGCGGUUCCUUUUUGCGAGCUUCCCGAGUGCCAGGCGCCGGCCGGCUGCGAAGACGCGGUGGGCCGCCCCUCCGAUUGAAAUCACAGAAGAUAUUCGUGUUCUUCUUAAGAGAAAAGAGGACAUUUGCAUACUGUAUUGUCGGCUUCCAAAGAUUACUAACUUAUCUGUAUCACUGAGAUUGAACUGCCUUGGCUGUACUGCUAUUCUUACUGCUGCUUCUAUUAUUGCCUUCUUCAGCANCUUUAAAAACCAUCAAGACCAUAUAUGAUUAAGAUUUUCCCUCCAUUUCUCCUAAAAAAAAGUAAGUUAGUAAAUUUCACUAAAUGAUUGAGAUGUAAUCAGUGGUUCAGACUUUAUGGCAGUUGCUGCCAAAUGUUUCUUCAUUUUUUAAAUAACC
rnacentral:lncRNA from 1 species